UACGUAGGGGGCAAGCGUUGUCCGGAUUUAUUGGGCGUAAAGAGCGUGUAGGCGGCCAUGUAGGUCCGGUGUGAAAACUCGAGGCUUAACCUCGAGAUGUCAUCGGAAACCAUUUGGCUAGAGUCCGGAAGAGGAGAGUGGAAUUCCUGGUGUAGCGGUGAAAUGCGCAGAUAUCAGGAAGAACACCAAUGGCGAAAGCAGCUCUCUGGGACGGUACUGACGCUGAGACGCGAAAAGCGUGGGGGAGCGAACAGG
rnacentral:rRNA from 1 species